CUGUUUUUAAUGACUUUUAUUUCUUUUUUAAUGCACUUGUUAUUGUUCCUGCACCUCGCUGUAACGUUUUUAAUGUUUUAUGUAAAACUCUUUGAAUUGUCUUGUACAUGAAAAGGAGCUGUAUAAAUAAAGUUG